rnacentral:sRNA from 1 species
GUUUUUUUCUCUUUUUUAUUUUAUUUUU